rnacentral:rRNA from 1 species
AGAGCGAACGCUGGCGGCAGGCCUAAUACAUGCAAGUCGAACGGAUCCUUCGGGAUUAGUGGCGGACGGGUGAGUAACACGUGGGAACGUGCCCUUUGGUUCGGAACAACUCAGGGAAACUUGAGCUAAUACCGGAUGUGCCCUUCGGGGGAAAGAUUUAUCGCCAUUGGAGCGGCCCGCGUCUGAUUAGCUAAUUGGUGGGGUAAAGGCCUACCAAGGCUACGAUCAGUAGCUGGUCUGAGAGGAUGAUCAGCCACACUGGGACUGAGACACGGCCCAGACUCCUACGGGAGGCAGCAGUAGGGAAUCUUGCGCAAUGGGCGAAAGCCUGACGCAGCCAUGCCGCGUGAAUGAUGAAGGUCUUAGGAUUGUAAAAUUCUUUCAGCGGGGACGAUAAUGACGGUACCCGCAGAAGAAGCCCGGCUAACUUCGUGCCAGCAGCCGC